rnacentral:lncRNA from 1 species
AUGAAAAAGAUUGAUAUUUCUAUUAAAGUCGUAACAAACCUUGUUUUCAUUUUCAUUAUUCUACAACUGCAAAAUUAAUAUGUAUAUAGGUGUCGUUUCAUUCAUCAACUAUUGUUAAAGUUUCUUCAUUUUCCUCAUCAUUUUCAGAUGAAUUUUUGGAGCAUUUUGACUUGGUUAUUGUAUAACUGAUGUUUACGUCUGAUGAAGUGAUGUAUUCAAAUAUUUAGGGAUCCUCUUCCACUGACUAGGCGAUUAUUUAAUUGGUAUAGUAAAAUUAUAACUGUGUAAAGUACUUCAGUUUAAGGUAGUCAGUUAUUUGCUUCAGAGCUCACAAAUUCAAUAUUUGUUAUGUAUUGUUAUUGAUUAUAAGUUAGACUCAUUUUGUACAGGAACCACCCUAAAGUGGAGUACUCUACAAAUAGAUUACUCAUUAUAACCGAACAAUUUGGUUAGUACAUGUUUACAAGGGAUUAAGAGAUAUGUAUACCUUAUAAAAACGAGAAGAGGCGGUCUAAAGCCUGUGAAUGACUGCAACCAGAUCUAUAGAGUAGCUCAUAAAACAUCUCAAAAGACUUAUUGGAAAUGCGAGCAAGACGGUCGAGUUCACACUAUUAUGGAAAAUGAAACUCGCAUUAUAAUAAAGAGGCAUGGCUAACACAAUCACCCGUCAUACCAUUCAAAGCCUUAAGUGCGUGAGGCCUUAUCAGAAUUAAAACUUCAGAUUCAGAGAUUUCUUCGAGAUCACUUAUCUCAAAAUUGACUUCGAAUUUGGAUGAGAACAUUUUAGCUCUACUCCUGAGCACUUCCAGCUUAUCAGGAAGUAUUCAAGCGAGACAAAAAUAAAAUCAAGACCCUCCCAUUCCUACUGGACGGAGUUCGUAUUUCAUUCUCCUUGCUAGCCAAUGGUGAUUUUUUUUUUUUUUUUUUUUUUUUUUUUGCUUUUCGACAGUGGACAGUUUGAUGAGGAUCGUGCAUUGAUUUUUGGAACAGAAAGUGGGAUUAUUGACCUCCUCAAUUACAAGCAUUGGGCUUGCGACGGGACUUUCAAAUACUGCCCCAGCAUCUACUAUCAGCUGUUUACUAUAAGUGCUGUUCUAGGACACACAUGUAUCCCUUGCCUUUUGUAUUACUCCAUUCAAAUCGUAGGAGACAUACCAGCGCCUUAUCCUAGCUUUUAAGGGACUGAAUGAAGCUUUGGAACCAGAAUUGUUAAUGAUUGAUUUUGAGAAGGCCUCGUGAAUUCAUUUGGCGAAGUUUUUCCCACUAGUAAUAUCAAAGGAUGCCUCUUCCAUUUAUCAAAAAAUAUAUAUUUUCGGCAUAUCGUGAAUCUUGGGAUAAAAGAAUGAUAUCAGACCGAUCCCAUCUUUAACACGAAGUUAAAUGCUUCACCGCGUUGGCAUUUUUACCGGUAGAAGAUGUCGUCGAUGUUUCCACUAACUUAACCGAUGAUGAUGAUUUGCCUCAAGAACUUGUCUCAUAUUUUUGAGACAAAUUACAUUGGAGGUGAACAAAGUCGAGGAUAUCAUCGAAGGCGAAUACAGUCUAUUUACCCUAUUAAAUUGUGGAAUAUGUAUGAACAAAAUCUUCAUGCAGAUAUCCGUACUAAUAAUAGUUUAGAAGGGUAUCAUAAUGCAAUUCCAAGUUCAAUUGCAUGCACACAUCCCAAUUUAUGGAAGCUUAUAGACUAUUUAAAGAAAAAGGAAUCACUGGCAAGAACGAAAAACGAGGUGACCCGAAUACUAUUAUAAAAAUGUACAGAGAUAUAAAUAAAAGACUGGAAUGUAAAGUUUCUCAGUAUAAUCUCAUUGAUAAAUUAGGGUAUUUGAGAAGCAUUGCUCGGAAUUUAUACAAUUUUUAGUUUAUUUUGUUUUGUGUUGUAUUUAUAAGUCCUCUGCAUUUUUUUUUCUUGUGUAAAGAUUAAUUCUUAUAUUUAUUAUUGUAAAUAUUUUAUAGAACAUAUAUAAAUAAUGUAUAUUAUU